rnacentral:rRNA from 1 species
GCAAGUCGAACGAACUCUGGUAUUGAUUGGUGCUUGCAUCAUGAUUUACAUUUGAGUGAGUGGCGAACUGGUGAGUAACACGUGGGAAACCUGCCCAGAAGCGGGGGAUAACACCUGGAAACAGAUGCUAAUACCGCAUAACAACUUGGACCGCAUGGUCCGAGUUUGAAAGAUGGCUUCGGCUAUCACUUUUGGAUGGUCCCGCGGCGUAUUAGCUAGAUGGUGGGGUAACGGCUCACCAUGGCAAUGAUACGUAGCCGACCUGAGAGGGUAAUCGGCCACAUUGGGACUGAGACACGGCCCAAACUCCUACGGGAGGCAGCAGUAGGGAAUCUUCCACAAUGGACGAAAGUCUGAUGGAGCAACGCCGCGUGAGUGAAGAAGGGUUUCGGCUCGUAAAACUCUGUUGUUAAAGAAGAACAUAUCUGAGAGUAACUGUUCAGGUAUUGACGGUAUUUAACCAGAAAGCCACGGCUAACUACGUGCCAGCAGCCGCGGUAAUACGUAGGUGGCAAGCGUUGUCCGGAUUUAUUGGGCGUAAAGCGAGCGCAGGCGGUUUUUUAAGUCUGAUGUGAAAGCCUUCGGCUCAACCGAAGAAGUGCAUCGGAAACUGGGAAACUUGAGUGCAGAAGAGGACAGUGGAACUCCAUGUGUAGCGGUGAAAUGCGUAGAUAUAUGGAAGAACACCAGUGGCGAAGGCGGCUGUCUGGUCUGUAACUGACGCUGAG